rnacentral:rRNA from 1 species
GAUGAACGCUGGCGGCGUGCUUAAUACAUGCAAGUCGAACGGACGGGCCCUGCUUUUGUGGGGUGCUCGAUUGGCGAACGGGUGAGUAACACGUGAGUAACCUGCCCUUGUCUUUGGGAUAACUUCUGGAAACUGGGGCUAAUAUCGGAUAGGAGCUCCUGCUGCAUGGUGGGGGUUGGAAAGUUUCGGCGGUUGGGGAUGGUCUCGCGGCUUAUCAGCUUGUUGGUGUGGUAGUUGCUUACCAAGGCUUUGACGGGUAGCCGGCCUGAGAGGGUGACCGGGCACAAUGGGACUGAGAGACGGAGCAGUCUGCAACGGGACGCAGCAGUGGGGAAUAUUGCGCAAUGGGCGGGAGCCUGAUGCAGCAACGCCGCGUGCGGGAUGACGGCCUUCGGGUUGUAAACCGCUUUCGCCGGUGACGAAGCGUGAGUGACGGUAAUGGGUAAAGAAGCACCGGCUAACUACGUG